UUUGAACUGUAGCUUUUAAAACAUGUUCACAUUUGGAAUACAACUGAUGAAAAUCUGAAACUGCCAUGACCCUAGAAUCAUGGUAGUUACAAUCAAUUCAAGCCAUUCAAAUAAGCUCGAAAAUAGUCUUGCUUAGUUCGAAUUAUACAGUCCAAAGUUUAGAAGUACAAAUCAAAAUAUAAACUAUAUCAACCUAUUACACAUCAUUUAAAGUCUAUUGACUAUUAAACACAGCAAUCCAAACAAGUACAAUUCAGGGAGCAGAUAGAAGAAUAUUUUUCAUUUCGUUUUCACCUCAAGGCUACACCAAUUCAAGUUCAUAUAUGUACCUGGAAAAUAGAGCAAAAGGAGAAGGUUGAAGAUCAGCUAAGUAGCAACAAAUAGUAUCAACGGAUCACUUUUAAAUCCCAGGGACUGAUCUCAAAUAAACCAGGAAAAUCAUUUCCUGCAAAUAAAACCAGUAAACAACUCAAAAUAGCCUCAAAUACAAUGGAGAUUGAAUCUAGUGAACCUCUGAAGUUUUAGCACUUCAAACACAUGCAUUUCAAGUCAUUUUAAUCUUAUUUAAGCUAGACAUUCAAAUUGAUAGACGAGGACAGGAAUUAAUCUGAGGGAAACACUCUAAUGAAAUAGUAUUUUUGGGAUUUCUAAGAAUUUAGGAUCUAAAUGGACUUUCUAGCUCUAAAUUACAGCAUUGGCUUUUUGAAUUUGAAAUUCUAACUUUUGAGAGAUCUUCGGGGUUCUGAAACUUUUGGGGAUAUUUUUUCAGGGGUCCAAACUUGAAAAACAAGGCAGUAGGGAUUGCCUUUUAUAGUCAAAAUUUAGGUUUCCCUCAUAUUUCAGUAUUACAACUUUAGUCCUUCUUUUAUUUUGUUUUUUAGCUUAGGCAGCCUCAGCUUUCUGACUUGUGCCUCAAGACUUAAUACUAAAUUAUUAAAAUUCUAUUUCCAACCCCAACUAGAAGGUUCUAGUGGUUUCUAAUUCAUGUUACUGCAGGAAUCUUACGAUCAAAAGGCCUAUAUUACCCUUGAAUUUAAUCUAAAUUACUAACCUAUGUCAAAACUAGACUAACCUUUCUAAACUAACCAUGGUUAACCUGGCAGUUUUGGAAAUCAUUUAGCUAUAACCAAGUAAUCCUUAAAUUGAAUUAGUAAUCCUAUAACCUAAUAAAACUCAUUUAAAAUUAAUUGAUAUAUAACAUAUGACUAAUUUUAUCAGUAAACUAGUAAAACAAUAAGUGAACGAUUCUAAACUCAAACAUGAAAAUAUACUGUAACAAAAUAGCAAAAUCCACAAAACCGAAUGAAUUGUAAAAAACAACAGCAAACAAAUCCAAUCUCUAAUAAACCUACACAAAACUCAAACCAAAAUAGAACAAGCUUAAAUGGAUUUCAAAGAUGAAAACAGCACCAGGGGAAGAAUUUUUAACAUCUAACAUGAAGAUUGAAACUAUAAUCGGAUAUCUAACACAACUAAACCUUAAACAAGCAUGGAAAAAAAUGAACAAAACAAAAUCAAUCAAAAGAGAACCUAGAAAGCCCUACACCACAUGAAUAUUGAACCAUUAAUGAAAGGAAAAAGAUAAGAAAACCUAAAUUCCGAAAUUGAAACUUUCCUUAAGCUAAAUCAGAAAAAGGAACACUUGAAGAAAAAUAGAAGGAAAAGAACUUGGAAACAAUUGUGAAACUAAACAAAACAAAAAGGAUAAUGGGAACUCACCAAUUCCAACCCCCAGGCGGGACUGAACUUCCCAAUUUAACCGCAAAACAUUGUCAAUCGUCUAUUCCCUAUCAAGAACAGGUGACUGACAUCAUUUCGCAAUGAAAUCGUCUCUAAAACCUCAGGAGAUUGAACCCUUGCCCUUGCAUGCAUAACCCUGAAUUAAGCCUUUUAGGGUUUGAACCUUUGAUUUGAUAUACGAAGGGUUCUGGUCAAAUUUGAAGGAAAUUAGCUUGAGAUUUAGGAAGAGGGAAUCAGGGUGAGUCUGGGGUGUAAUUUUUGUGGAUUUUGGCGGUG
rnacentral:lncRNA from 1 species